UCAGCCUAUCGAUAAGAUGACAUUCUGUGAUGGCAGUGGCCGAUGUUUAUCUGUUGCGUCGCAUCAAUUUUGCGCCGGCUAAAUAUCGUGUUAGUUAUUAUAAAUUUAGAGAAUAAUAUUUUUCUUCAUAAAAUUUGUGUUAUU